rnacentral:rRNA from 1 species
CCUUCUGUGCCGGAGUUAACGCAAUAAGUACCCCGCCUGGGGAGUACGACCGCAAGGUUGAAACUCAAAGGAAUUGACGGGGGCCCGCACAAGCGGUGGAGUAUGUGGUUUAAUUCGACGCAACGCGAAGAACCUUACCAGGUCUUGACAUUGAUGGACAGAACCAGAGAUGGUUCCUCUUCUUCGGAAGCCAGAAAACAGGUGGUGCACGGUUGUCGUCAGCUCGUGUCGUGAGAUGUUGGGUUAAGUCCCGCAACGAGCGCAACCCCUAUCUUAUGUUGCCAGCACGUAAUGGUGGGAACUCAUGAGAGACUGCCGCAAACAAUGCGGAGGAAGGCGGGGAUGACGUCAAAUCAUCAUGCCCCUUAUGACCUGGGCUACACACGUACUACAAUGGGAGUUAAUAGACGGAAGCGAGAUCGCGAGAUGGAGCAAACCCGAGAAACACUCUCUCAGUUCGGAUCGUAGGCUGCAACUCGCCUACGUGAAGUCGGAAUCGCUAGUAAUCGCAGGUCAGCAUACUGCGGUGAA